GACGAACGCUGGCGGCGUGCUUAACACAUGCAAGUCGAACGCUGAAGCUUGGUGCUUGCACUGGGUGGAUGAGUGGCGAACGGGUGAGUAAUACGUGAGUAACCUGCCCUUGACUCUGGGAUAAGCCUGGGAAACUGGGUCUAAUACUGGAUAUGACAUGCCACUGCAUGGUGGUGUGUGGAAAGGGUUUUACUGGUUUUGGAUGGGCUCACGGCCUAUCAGCUUGUUGGUGGGGUAAUGGCCUACCAAGGCGACGACGGGUAGCCGGCCUGAGAGGGUGACCGGCCACACUGGGACUGAGACACGGCCUAGACUCCUACGGGAGGCAGCAGUGGGGAAUAUUGCACAAUGGGCGGAAGCCUGAUGCAGCGACGCCGCGUGAGGGAUGACGGCCUUCGGGUUGUAAACCUCUUUCAGCACGGAAGAAGCGAGAGUGACGGUACGUGCAGAAGAAGCGCCGGCUAACUACGUG
rnacentral:rRNA from 1 species